rnacentral:rRNA from 1 species
UAACACGUAGGGGCCAAGCGUUGUCCGGAUUUAUUGGGCGUAAAGAGCUCGUAGGCGGUUGGGUAAGUCGGGUGUGAAAACUCCAGGCUCAACUUGGAGACGCCACCCGAUACUGCUCUGACUUGAGUUCGGUAGGGGAGUGGGGAAUUCCUGGUGUAGCGGUGAAAUGCGCAGAUAUCAGGAGGAACACCGGUGGCGAAGGCGCCACUCUGGGCCGAAACUGACGCUGAGGAGCGAAAGCGUGGGUAGCAAACAGGAUUAGAUACCCUGGUAGUCCACGCCGUAAACGUUGGGCACUAGGUGUGGGCCCUAACCAACGGGGUCCGUGCCGUAGCUAACGCAUUAAGUGCCCCGCCUGGGGAGUACGGCCGCAAGGUUA